ncrna:Kosakonia sacchari SP1 algC RNA
CAAGAUAUGGCCAUUUUACGGUCACGGCUGACUGUUGCCUGAAGAAGAGGUAA